rnacentral:rRNA from 1 species
GCAUCGAUGAAGAACGCAGCGAAAUGCGAUAAGUAAUGUGAAUUGCAGAAUUCAGUGAAUCAUCGAAUCUUUGAACGCACAUUGCGCCCUCCGGUAUUCCGGGGGGCAUGCCUGUUCGAGCGUCAUUACAACCCUCAAGCUCUGCUUGGUGUUGAGCCCGCCCCGGCCUGCCCGGGGCUCGCUUCAAAGUCAGUGGCGGCCGCCGUCCGACCUUCAGCGCAGUAAUGCUCGCCGCUGUUAGGGAAGGGUAGCAAGGGCCGUCAUACAACCCCCACACACAAGGUUGACCUCGGAUCAGGUAGGGAUACCCGCUGAACUUAAGCAUAUCAAUAAGCGGAGGAAAAGAAACCAACAGGGAUUGCCUCAGUAACGGCGAGUGAAGCGGCAACAGCUCAAAUUUGAAAGCUGGCUCCUUCGGGGCCCGCGUUGUAAUUUGUAGAGGAUGCUUCGGGCGCGGCACCGGUCUAAGUUCUCUGGAACGAGACGUCAUAGAGGGUGAGAAUCCCGUAUGUGACUGGCUGCCUGUGCCCAUGUGAAGCUCCUUCGACGAGUCGAGUUGUUUGGGAAUGCAGCUCAAAAUGGGAGGUGUACUCCUUCUAAAGCUAAAUAUUGGCCAGAGACCGAUAGCGCACAAGUAGAGUGAUCGAAAGAUGAAAAGCACUUUGGAAAGAGAGUUAAACAGUACGUGAAAUUGUUGAAAGGGAAGCGCUUGCAAUCAGACUUGCGCGGCGUCGAUCAGCCUGGGUUCUCCCUGGUGCACUCGGCGCCGCUCAGGCCAGCAUCAGUUUCGGCGGUGGGAUAAAGGCCUAGGGAACGUGGGUCCCCUCGGGG